UUGGCCAAAAAGUUUGUUUGGAUUUUUCUGUAAGAUGUUACAGAAAAACACUGAAUGAACUAUUUGGCCAA
rnacentral:miRNA from 1 species